rnacentral:tRNA from 1 species
GCCGGUGUAGUUCAGUGGUAGAACAUUUUCUUGGUAAGAAAAAGGUCGUGAGUUCGAUUCUCGCCACCGGCU